ACACGAGGAGAAGAUGGGAGUAAUUCUCUCAGGAGCAAUAAAUUUUUAUUGGCUUAUAUUAGAAACGGAGUUGAUAGUUUGGUUCUGGUUACCUAGCUUGUGGUACAAUUUGGUCUAUUAACACAUGGUAGUUUAGGCGCAGAAUGCGUAUGAGUUGGCUUUUCUACAAGGGGGGCCAGGGAGCCCCUUGAAGGAAGCUCACGACCUACAAUCAGAAAAAAUUCGAGGACUGUUAGUAAUUGAUCCAUACCUCCAGUGAAAAGGUCUCGGCAAUGUGCGGAAGCUCGACCGGGAUAUAAUUUAAUAGAGGAGUCCAACCAGGUGCCAGCAGUCGCGGUUAAACCUGAGUUACUCAAUUCAAGCGUUACAGUGCAAAAGGUGGUUAGACAGCCCUCCCUGUUAUUUAAGGGGUAAAUUAGGAAAAAAGAGGAUCGAUCCGGGAAGGGUAGGGGUGCAAUCCGGUUAACCCUCCUGAGGAAAGGGGUGA
rnacentral:misc_RNA from 1 species